rnacentral:lncRNA from 1 species
GGUCGCUGUCAGCUGAUGACAAAUCUGCGAAUGCCCAGGAGGCAGCCUGGUGGACAAUGUCAGGAGCUCCAGCAGAACCUCAUGUGUCCCCUAGAGGAACCCCCACUGCUGCCCCCUGCUGGGGAAAUGAGGAGCCACCAAGGAAAGCCUUCUCACAGGCCGGUGUCUUCCCUUUGUGUCUUUCGUCCCGAGUCCCAGGGAGGCUCAAGAGACACAUACCUGACGAAAGGCAGACCCGUGACGGCAGCGGCGUCGCUGGGCGGCAGGUCUCUGCGGAGGGCAGUGUGUGACACCGCACACGGGGGUGAGUAACCGCGAUGGCCUCCUCUGCACCUCAGACAGGAGUCCUGCCUGGGAGCAGCCCACCGCGCUGGAAGCCACUGGUUUCCCUGGCUGACUCAGGCACACAUUUCUUCCGCGGUAUGUGAGGAACAAAAUGCAAAUUGCUCGAAUGGUGACCAGUUGCAAAAACGUUUUGGAGAGUUGCUGUUUUUAAAAAUGUCAAUUUUAUGAAUGUUAAUUCUGUGGUUGUUCGUGAUUAAGUUCGUUUCCUAGAAGUGAAUACUGUAUAUUGUGGGUUAUAUUUUCAAAUUUGUAUUAAAAUGUAG